GACGAACGCUGGCGGCGUGCUUAACACAUGCAAGUCGAACGGAAAGGCCCUGCUUUUGUGGGGUGCUCGAGUGGCGAACGGGUGAGUAACACGUGAGUAACCUGCCCUUGACUUUGGGAUAACUUCAGGAAACUGGGGCUACUACCGGAUAGGAUCUCCUGCUGCAUGGUGGGGGUUGGAAAGUUUCAGCGGUUGGGGAUGGACUCGCGGCUUAUCAGCUUGUUGGUGGGGUAUUGGCUUACCAAGGCGUUGACGGGUAGCCGGCCUGAGAGGGUGACCGGCAACAUUAGGACUGAGAUAAGGAACAGACUACUACGGGAGGCAGCAGUGGGGAGUAUUGCACAAUGAGCGGAAGCCUGAUGCAGCAACGCAGCGUGCGGGAUAUCGGCGUUCGGGGUGUAAACCACUUUCACCGGUGACGAAGCGUGAGUGACGGUAAUAGGUAAAGAAGCACCGGCUAACUACGUG
rnacentral:rRNA from 1 species